rnacentral:lncRNA from 1 species
CCUUAUUUUACUACGUAAGCAUACUAUGUACAUUGAUCUCACUGCAUACAUUAAUGACAAUUGUAAUCAGGCGCAAGAGCUGAACUGGCCACUCAUUCAAAAAAUAAAGGUAAGGCUCAUGUUUACAGCUAGGUAUCUUAGCACUUGAAACUGACAGUACAACCAUGUUCCUUUGCUGAGCAACUGAAACUCCUCGCUGCAACAAUAUAAAAGUGAUCAAACGGCAAUCGUAUGUACCAGAAGCAAAUGAGGAAGAAAAAUAGCUUAUUUUCUUUCAAAGUGAAAGGUUGAUCAUAGGGAAACAUUUUUUACAUUAUUUACAAUAGAAAACAGCAGAACAAUUCAAGUAAGGCUGUGCUUAUUACUGGCAUUUGGGACUUGAGAACACUGACGGUAAGUACAGCUCAGUUAUUAAAUCUUAAGAAUGUAACAGAUUAUGCUAAGCUUCUGCAAUGCAAAGCAUAUCUUAUCUCAUUUCUGGGAAGGAAGCAAUGCUUUUAUUGCAUGAUUUUACCAUUUUGUGGCUAUUUCUGAAGAGCAGGAUACGGCUAAUCCCAUGUUUGCAUUUUAAAAAGAAGGGGGAAAAUAGUUGGGUGGUUUCAGGUUGCACAGAGUGGAAUAGGCUAUUUAAUCCUUUGUCGCUCAAAAUCAGCAGCCCAGCCUUUCUCACACAAGAGGGGGUGGGGGAAGGAUACAAUAUCCCCCAUAUUUUCCCUGAUGAAUCCCACAAACAUAAGCAAAUGUUACCUAUCUUGCCUCAAAAGGCACAAUCUGGCAAGUCAAAUUGCUUGAAAGAACUCAUUUCUCUGCCGAAGAAGCUACAAACCGCUUUUUACCACUUAUUAGAGCAAAAAUAUGUGCACACUAGUGUGAAGCAAGGACAGAGGUACACAUUGAAAACUAAUCCACCAUUUUGGAUGCUCCUGCUAUUCUAUGUCUGUCGGAGCAGAGGCCCCAAGCAUCACUAAUCCCUUUCUCCUCACCAAGAUGGGCAACAAUGUCACCUUCAUUUAGGGAAUAAGGAUGCACUGGACCCCAUGAUAAAACAAGAACUUUAGCUGAAAAUAUAGCACAAAUGAUUCUUAAGAAGCAUCAGCACUGCCAGAAAGCACAGCCCCAUCCUAGAGCCCCAACUGGGUGGGGAAAGGUAGGAACUUUUAACUGCUGCUCCAUCAGUAUGGAGUAUACCUGCCUGCAGAUUUACCUGCCUACCUUACCUUUAACAUAAAAUACCUACCUAUUAUUGCAGAAUGAAUUUAAGAAUUUUAGAUGCUGAAAAAGUGUGCCUCGGAUAUAAAAUAUCUGGAAGAGCUGCUGCAGUAUGAAUAACUCUGGCAUUUAAAGCUGAGUUUCGUUGAAUAUAUGCAGAGUUCUUUUUCCUCCAUUGGAAGACAAUUUUUCAAAUAAGAACUGAGUAACAACGUUUCCCUGAAUGCCCUUCCUUUAGGAAAUAAGUGCUUCAUUUAUCCGAAGACUAUCUGGAUAUACCAUCAAAUCUGUACUUCAGUGCUUCACCAUAAGUCACCCUACCAAAGGUGACAGUGGCUCCACACCAGCUCAGAGAGUGACAUUCCGGGGCGUGAGCGGCAAGAGUCCUGGGCAGGAACGCUGAGACGGGUACGGGUGCUGGUGCUGGUAGCAGAGGCAGUCCGAGUAGUCAAAGUGAAGUCCAACGGAGGGAGCAGGGGCAAGAGGCAGUCCAAUUGGUGGGCCCAUGGUCAGGAAGCAGCAGCAAGUCAAAUAAGGGUCAGAGGCAAGAGGAAGUCCAGAAGCGUACCAGAGUCAAGGUGGGUAAGAAGUCCAGCCAGGCAAGGUCACGAUGCAGGGUCACGGGAGCUCAACAAAAGACCAAGUUGCUGUGGCAAAGACCAAAAGUGAAACGCAGGCCUGAUUUAGCUCUCCUGGGCUUGCUCCCAGCUGCAGUGCAUCUUGUCACCUGACCGUGCUUGCUGGCCUGCGCCUGAUUCAUAUAAGGUUGGCACAGCCAGGGUCUGGCUCCCACAAAUCCUCAGAGUGCUCAGGGCCUGCUUCCUGCAAAACCUCAGUGCUCAUUACAGGCAGCAGGCAGUGAGAGGCCCAAGUAUUAAUUGGCCUUGUUAGGAGAUCUGCUGGGAAGAUGACAAAAACAUGCAGGUUGUUGCACUGAAUGCCCCUUGAAAAUGAUGCCACAUACCUCUGUGGUCUUCUAUGAGAUAGCACAGUGUGCAUACACUGAUAUUCAUAAAAAUGCACAGCCUUUACAUGUUUGUGCAUUGCACUAAAUAUGUGGCUACCAUCUUCCAUAUCAUAUUUUAGUAUUACAUGAGAAAGAAAGCUCAAAAAUGCACUAUACCAGACAAAAGAACAGCUCAGCUGCCAUUUUUCUGGCACCAUAGCCAAUUCUAGCAACUAGCCCAGAGGGUAAAAUUCUGGUCCAGGGGUCAGCAAACUUUUUUUGGAGGGGGUCGGUUCAUUGUCCCCCAGACCUUGUGGCGUGCCAGACAGCGCACACACGCAGGCGCGCACGGAGGAGGGGGCUUCUCUCUCUCCCCCUCUCCCCCCAGCCCCUCCCCCGCCUACCUAUGCUGCUGUCCGUACUGCGUUCUCCCAACUGCGGCUCCUGUGCCCUUGCGAGGGCUGCUUUCAGGCUGCUCGUCCCGCUGCCGCUGCCGCCGCCGCUCGCAAGGGCAGGCACAGGAGCCGCAGUUGGGAGAGACGCUGCGCUGUGCUCUGCCAACCGCUGCUCCUGUGCCUGCCCUUGCAAGCGGCAGAGGCUGUCGGCGGCGGCGGAGGGAUGAGCAGCCCAAAAGGGCUAGCUGGCUCCAGAGAGGCACUGCCCAAAAUGGCGCUCAGCCAGCUCAGCCCAGCCCACUUCCUCCACUACGCAGGGCGGGGAGAAGGGUGCAGAGAAGCGCGCAGGGAGAGAGGAGGCGCCGCGGUGGGUGGGCGGGUGGGGGGGGAAUGGCGCCCGAAAAAAGGGUGGUGCCCCAAAAAAACUGAAGGGGGAAAAAAUGAACAAACAGAACCGCCGAUCCACGGAACAUCCGCAGGCCGGAUCCUGAGGGCAAUUGGGCCAGAUCUGGCCCGCGGACCGUAGUUUGUCGACCCCUGUUCUGGUCAGUCUUGCUGGGUGGCAACCCUAGUGGCUUUCUUAGGAUAUACGUAUAUUACAAAUGUAAAUUACUUCGCCUUCCACGGCUUCCAACCAUGGAACUUAACUUCAAAGAUUCCAAAUAAGGGGGGGAAAUAACUAACUAGGAAUUUAUUUUUUUGUGUUUCAGGAUUGUCCAACUUACAGGAGCAAUAUUUCCAUACACUAUGAACCUAGAAACAGAACCAUUUUGCCAAGAAUACCUAGCACAUAAAGGUACAGUAGUAAAACCAUAUUACUGGCUAAGCGUGAGCCAAAGCUGUGUCAAGUGCCCUUAUCACAUAAAAACAGGUGAAGAAGCAAGAGUUCCUUAUGUAGAAUUUCAUAAUGCCUUUGGAUUCCCAUACAGAUCAAUGCCUUCCCAUAAUAAACACCUUCUAUUUUAUGAAUUGAGGCAUUCAUCAGGGAAAUUAAUUCAAAAAGGCCAUGCUACAAAUUGCACAGAGUACAACAUUCAUCCAGAAUCAAUGUUAUUUGAAAUAGGCGGUUAUCUAGAUUCAGUUGUGC